rnacentral:lncRNA from 1 species
GAGUGGGUUGUUCAUUGGUGUCGGUAAGAGAAACAGUUGAAGCCACCAUCUCUGCAGCACAUCUAUUGGGCAUGGCAGAUUCAAGGCUUAGCACGGUUCCUUCAUGGCUCCCCGUUGGGUUAAUGAUAGACUCAAAUGCUAUGUGCUACAAAGACUUUGUUGAUGAUAUUGCAAAGUCAUAUCCAUGGGGGCCAAAUGAAACCGUCACAAUUGGCUAUGUGGAUAUGGUUCAUAAAAUUUCUCAUCAUGUCACAACUGACCAGGAUAUGCUAGAAAUGUUUGAAAAGUUUGUUGAUAUCAAGGUGAUUCCAAUGAUUAUUCGUAUACAUGGUAUGAAUGAAAAUAUUGAUGAGUUAGACCACACUCUUGUUAAAGCAAACAUAUGUGUUCCCGAUACUCCUUCUCUGGCAACCCCAUCUCAAGUGGAUUUCAGCCAACCUAGCAGCAGCACUCUGCCUUCUCAUGUCCUCGUGCCAUCAGACACAUACUUAAUAAACCCAUUUCCUAUGGCUGAGCAUGUUGGUGUGGAUGAUGAAUGCAUAUACUUAGAUAAUGAGGAGGCUGUUGCU